GAGAGAGAUGAACCACUCCAGAGUUCACUAGCAAGCGGUCCGAGACCACCUCUUUUAGGCAGACCAGAGUCCAGUUGUUUAGUUCACAUCAGAGGUCUCGGACUGCGUUCACAACGACCCAAACGACCGCACCAAGCGGUUAAACGCACCAGGGAUCGAUUCAACCGGACUAA